rfam:Bacteroidetes bacterium GWA2_31_9 gwa2_scaffold_17731, whole genome shotgun sequence.
AAAAAGUGGAGUUCAGCUACCACUCAAAAAACGAGGCGUAUCCGAAAAGCCAUAAGAGUAGGAAUACU